UUCCCUCCUCUAAACACGCCUCUCCGCGAGCCACGUCGCCUCUCGCCCCCUGCGCCGCCCCGCCGCCUCUCGCCCCCUGCGCCGCCCCGCCGCCCUCCGAAGCCCGCGAGAGGAGGAGAGCGAGAAGGAGGGCGGCGAGGGGCGAAGAUGCUUAUGGGGAAGCGGCCGCGGUCGCCGAUGCGGCGGACGACGAUCGCGGCGGUGUUCUCGGCGGCGGACCUCGAGGCGGCGUCGGAGGCGUCGGACGAGGGGGGGCACCAGCGGCUAAGGCGGACGGCGCCGAUGAGCGCGCAGCGGCGGAGCUUCAGCGACUUCGAGUUGGCCGGGACGGCCUCCUUCCUCAGUUCCUGCGGCCUCUGCAAGCGCCACCUCGGCCCUGGAGUCGAUACCUACAUCUAUAGGGGUGAAAUUGCAUUCUGUAGCCUGCAGUGUAGGCAGCACCAAAUUAACCUUGAUGAUCAGAAAGAGAAAUAGAAGUUCUCGUUGACAUCUCUGAGGACUGAAGCACCCCUAGCAACUGCAGGAUCUGAAGCCUCCAAUAAUGGUAUUGGCGGUAGCGACGGCUUCAAGAUACAACCCAAACGGCUUACAGCGGGUCUAAUCUAUAGUACACAUCUAACGUAGGCAGAUUACUUAUUCUAUAUCGUGCCUAAAAUAUAAAAUAAUAUAUGUAAUUGUAUAAGAGAGAAUGGUGGUAGGAAGAGACUAUGAGAGCAAGAAGAAGAUUUUUUUGUUUUGUUUUUUUUAGGUGCAAGAAUUGGCUCAUAUAUAUUGACCUUUUGUAACCCAAGCAUAAUGAUUGAAUACUUAUGGCCUCAUUAAGACCAUAAUGAAAGAUAAUGGAAAGUUUUGAAACUUCCAAAUGGAAUUUGAAAUACUUAAAGAUUACAACAAUUUUUUUAAAAUUUUGAGGGUUACAAAUUCUUUUUAUUAAUACCUCUUUAAAACUUUUAAAAACUCAUUCAAAUUCCAACUGUACCAUCGGAAGCCAAUGUUUGGUGGUGCUGCUCCUUCAGUUUUGAAGUGAAGAGAACCAAAGAAACUCAAAUGAAAUGGGGCAUUUAUUUUAUUGAU